rnacentral:lncRNA from 1 species
CUAGAUCUCCAAAUCCACCAACAAGCACGUGAAAAUGAGGUACCUUUUGGUCGAUUUAGUUGCACACUCACCCACUGUCUUGUGUCAGUUGGAACCAUCCAUACAUAUUAAGACCUAUCCAUAGAUUCUUAGCACUGCUACAAUCACGAAGUGGGUGAAUGAUGGUCUCCUCCUCCAAGCCACACCUGUUACAAAAGGAUCAAGAUGAAGAUGUCACUUAAAGCGAAAAUGGUUAAUAAGAAGCCUAUUGUGAAGUAGCCAAAAAUAGUAUUUGAUGUAACACUUUAACGAAUCACACUGAAAAGAGAGAUUUAGAAGUCGUACAACUGAGUUAUAGUUAUAGUUGAUAAACCUACACCAACAAUAUGCAUAUAUUUUUUGGUAGUUCAUCACUUAAGAACUUUACAAUUAAACGUGUUUGACUUGAAGCAAUUAUGGGAUGAGUGACCUUUUGGAAAGUUUUUCAGAAAACGUGUGAGUGAGAAUAAAGCACAUCGAAAAGUUUCGUAUUAAUUUGUGGGGAUAGUCAUUGCUCUUGAAAGUAGCUGAAGCAGAUUGUUGAGGUCUCAAAAAAGAGUUCCUAUGAAGGGUUUUGACCGAUGGAGAAUUCUGAUCAACAAUGAUGUUGAAUGAAGUACCAUAGUGUGUGAAUCGUUGAGAGGUCGACAAUUUAAGGAAAAAAAAUCCUAGAAGACAUAUGACCCCAAACGAUAACAUCAUUUGCAUGUUCAUCUAGCAUGAGACUAAGCAACUUGUGUUUAAUGUGAGAAGGAAUUUGUGUAGCAAUAUUCUGCCAUUGCCAAAUACCUUGAACCAAGGCAUCACUAACUCUUAAUUGAGUGUCACUUAUAAGAGCAUAAUCAAGUGACUUGCAAGGAUUAUGAUCCAGCCAUUUGUCAUAAAAUAAUGAAAUAUCGCCAUGCCCUACUUUAAAUGUAAAGCUCAACUUCAACUCCUUGAAAGCUAACGUAAUAGUUGUCCAAGUGUAAGGAGAACCUUUAUUCAAGGAUAUUUGAAACAAUGAGGAUUUGGCAAAUACUUGUCACCCAUAAUUUUGACCCAAAGUUUAUUUGAGUCAUGAAGAAUGGUCUAUAUGUGCUUAUUCCAUUUAACCCAAUAAGAAGGAAGACUACCCCAAAUGAAGCCACAAAUAUUCUUAUCAAUUGUAUCACAAAUCUCUUCUAGAAGCCAAAUAUUCUGCAUAAUAUAAUUUGGAAUAGUAGAAAGAAUAGAAUUUGCCAAAGUUACUCUACUUGCACAAUUGAGUAACUUACUCUUACAACCUGACAAACAAUUAUUGAAUCGAUCUAGAAUGUAGGAAAAUUGGCUCUUAAUAACUCUUCAUGGGUAUAAGGGAAGUCCCGAAUACUUCUCUAAAUUAGUGGUGUGACGAAAGCUAACUAUAAAAGCAAACUUAUUUAUCUUUUUUAUAGGAACAUUCUUUGAAGCAAGGAAACCAGAUUUUUGAGAAUUAAUCUUCAAUCCCCAACAAGACAAAACUUUUGAAUAGUAUCUUGAAUGAGUUUAGCCCGGGAACAACUUGCCUUAAUACAAAGAAGGCAAUCAUGAGUAAAGAAAAUGUAGGAUAUAGAAGGACCAUUCUUUGAAAUCUUAAUGGGUUUCCAUGAACCAUUAUCAACAUGCUCUUGAAUUAAUAGGGCUAGCUUCAGCAUACAAAAAAGAAAGGUACAAAGACAUAUGAUCACCUUGAUGAAGACCUCUUCUUGGGACAAAACUUUCUUGAAUUUCAUUGUUCCAUUUCAAAGAUAAAUUGGUAGAAGUGGUACUAUGCAUGAUAUGAGGUUAAUGAUUUGCGAUGGAAUGUCAAAUUCUAAGAUAGUCAAAUAGAUAAAUUGGUAAAAGUGACAUAAUAAAUACUUAUUAAAUACAUUGCUUUUUAUCUCACUAACCCAAUAAAGAUUAAUUUUUUUCAAAGAAAGUAAAUUAUGAUUUUUUUAUAAUUUACAUUAAUUUUUAUAUUUUAUGGUUUUAGGAGAAGUGUUAUAUUCCUUGUAGCUUCAUCCUCUCGUUUGUUGAGCCUUUAUGAGGAGUCAUUUUCAAAGGCUUUGAUUGUGUCAAACUAUUUUUUCUUCAAACUUAGUUGGUCUUUGUUGAGGAGACCCUUGAAGUGUGUUAACCACUUUAUCAAGAGAGGUCAUACUUCCCAUAGAGCCCAUUUUCUUCCCAUAGACCACUUUUGGACUAGUGCCUUGGUUUGUUACAAGGCCAAGGUAUUUGUUCCCUAGUAUAAACAUAAAGAAAGGAGGAUUGAAGAUGGGUAGUCAAGGAACUAAAGGUAACCCAUCAAAGGUUUUGGAAGACCAUUGUUUAUUGGUCAUAUGGUGCUUUAAUCUCAACCUUUUCAAGGCAGGGAACCCUAUAUGAGAUCAUCUUGUUCGUCUACGAUUACCAUGCCUACUAACAAUUGUAGGUUGAGAAUAGAUGUUCCCUUACCCUUGUUCACAUAAGUUUCUCUAGCAUCCAAGGGGAGCAAUUUGCUCAAUUUCACUCAUUCCUAUGAUAUUGAUGGCAAAGGUGCAAGCUUUUCUCGUUAGGAAUUACUUUUUGUACCCUAUAAGUGGGAAAUGACUCUAGUUAUGUGUAAUUCUACAUUUUCACACCAAAAGGUGUUGAAAAAUAAGAAACACGCUAAAAAGAGGAUUGAAUAAUGUGUAUGCCUAUUUUGUAAAUUUUUUUAAAUCUUUUUGCAAAACUUUAGAUGAAAACAAGUUCGAAAACACUUUAUCCAAAAGAGAGAGUGAGGGACAAAAAAAAGGCUAAAUCACAAGAACACAAGUUAUUAUACUAGUUCAUUCAAAUUGAGUUUCCUUCAACUUUAGAAGGAUUCUACUAACCAAAACAAGGUUACAAAACAAGUAUUCUCUAUCCUACUUUUGCCUACACUAAGUAUUCAUUAUGUCACUUCUAUCUACAACAAAAAAUAUCACCCUAAGAUUGAAAAACAAGAGUAUUCUUUAACAUGAAGCCACUCUUGACCUUUCACAAACAACAUAGUGUUUGAAAAGAUUACAGGAAUCUACUCACAGUGUGAGGAUAUAAAAUUUUGGCACAUAUUACAAAUGACUUUGUAAAGCAAAGGAUGAAUUAUUUUUUAGAACAAAUUGUUUCAUCCAAAGAGUUGUAUCAAAGUAAAAUGUUUGAGUGAAUAGGCAUUUUGGCCCCUGUCUUCAUAGUCAUUUUGCACAUUAGUCCCUAUCUUUUUAAAAUGUAAAAAAUAGUCCAUAUCUUUGUAUAAGUUUUGCAAAAUAGUCUUUCCAUUAAAUUUUAAAGUAAUACCGUUAGUGAGGUGUAGUGUUGGCAAUUUUAGUGCCACGCAGACUAUCUAAUGUGGCACUAAAGUAUGACCAUGACCACCCAACCCCACUUUUAUUUCCAUUUCUCAGCAAACUCCAAAGUCUUCUUCACUUCCCUCUGCUGCAUCCGCUUCAGCCUCUCACCAUCCACAAACACAACGUUUUGGAGUGGCCUAGCGCCGGCUGCAACAAUCUCGGUGAUUAGUAUCUUCCACCGACCCCAAGAGGGUCCACCAAAACACCAGAUUUGGGUUUGUGUCAAGUUUUCCAGUUCAAGAAAGACUAUUACGCGUUCUACGACAAGGAAUGUUCGAGGAUUGCAGAGCAUGUGUACUUGGGGAGUGACACGAUGGCGAAGAGUGUCGAGCUUCUGCGGCAGCACUGAUGGCCUUUCUCUUUCUCUUUCUCUUUCGAUUUCGCUUAAAAAUCCAUUUUUUAUUUUCUGUGUACGGCUUUUUCUGAAAUUAAUUUAUACGCAGAUGAAUAAUUGAUUUGGAAUUUGUUUCUAAGAACCCCUUGUUUUGUGGGUAGCUUCCUACUUUGUGGUGGAAUUAGAGAAAUUGAUCUGGGGUAUCUGCUAAGAAUCCCAACUUUGUGAUCGUGUGAAGAAUGUUUUAAUGGGUGUUUGGAAACUCUUGAUCUUCUAUUUUCUUGUUUUGGGCUUUUAAAAGGCUUGAAUUAGCAUGUCCCCACUUUGUUGUUUUAGUUUGUGGGUGAAAUGAAUCCUUUUUAACUCAUUGAUGCUUAUAAGGUUGUUCAGUUUUGAUUGCAUAUGGAAAAUUCUGGAGUUUUCUCAUAGAGUAUUAGUGGCGUGAUAAUUGUUAAGCUUUGAGAAUACAAAUUUAGCUCCAUUGACAAGUGCACAAAAUAGUUCUGCACACAAUAUUUUAAAUAGAAUUAUGCUAUUUGUCAAUUACUAAAUUCCAUUGACAAGUGCUAUUAUUCAAAUUAUUUGGUUUUCAGAGUAUGCGGUGAAAUUGGUUAGGUGGCCUUAUAGCAGGGUUCUGUUCUGUGUCUCUUGACAGAAUUUCAUAGUUUUAUAUUUUAAUAAUGCGAAGGCAUAAAAAAUAUUCACAUAAUACUUGUUUUCUUUUUCCAGAGAAAUCAAUGGCCGAAUAUAACAAUGAAAGUUAUGUGAAUGAUCUGGAUCUGCCAUUGCUUGAUUUGUCAAUAAUCAUUGCGGCCACAAACAAAUUCUCAAAGGGAAACAAGAUUGGAGAAGGUGGCUUUGGAUCUGUAUAUUGGCUAAUUCAAUAUUUGGAUUCUAAUAAUAAUACUCAAAUACUCCACGAGUAAAAUAUCUAUAUAAUUAUAGUAUAAAGAGAAUCUACUCAUAAAUGUGAUUAUGUAGGGAAAAUUAGCUAGUGGGCUAGAAAUUGCUGUGAAGAGACUCUCAAAGAACUCGGAUCAAGGAAUGAGUGAGUUUGUAGACGAAGUAAAACUGAUUGCAAGAGUUUAACACAGAAAUCUUGUAAAGCUUCUUGGCUGUUGCAUUCAGAAAAAAGAGAAAAUGCUAAUUUAUGAAUACAUGGUUAACGGAAGCCUUGACUACUUCAUAUUUGGGAGUGAAUAACAAAAAGGAUUAAUUGAAAAAGGUAAUAAAGGAUUAAUUUAGCUCUAUUGUCUCUAUGUUUGCAUUCGUUGAACCUUUGAUGUAUUACCUGAUAUGUUAUCAAAGAUUUUCUUGUUUACUAACUCACUCUCCCUUUAUAUCUCAAUUUUUUAUCUGUGCCCCGUCAUACUUUAGUGUCACGUUGGAUAGUCUAUGUGACACUAAAAUUGUCAACAAUGCACCUCACUAACGGUGUUACUUUAAAAUUUAACGGAAUGACUAUUUUAGAAAACUUAUGCAAAGAUAGAGACUAUUUUUUACAUUUUAAAAAGAUAGGAACUAAUGUACAAAAUGACUACAAAGACAGAGACCAAAAUGCCUAUUCACUCAAAAUGUUUUGUUCAAAGUAUUUGUUAGUCUCAUAUAUUCCAAUAAAGUAAUGAUACACAAAUCCCCUUUUAUUUUGAACACUAAAACACCACACCAACACCUCCAAUUUCUCUCUCUAUAUCUGUCUUUCAAUCAUAUCAUAAACUCUAUCAUAUCUAUAUUUGCUCUCUUUUUCUAAGUAUUUGAUAACACAUUGGGUGUUUAUCAAAUAUUUUCCCUUCUAAUAUUCUCUUCAGAUCUCUUACAAGCUUGAGAGAACUUGUAUCCAUUGUGAGAUAUUACAAGCUUGAGAAGUUUCUUCCCAUUGUGAGCUUCAUUUAAUGCAUGGAAAACUUAAAGCAUUAUUAUUUUUUAUGUCUACUUUUCAGGAGGAGAGAGAAUGAAUAGGUGUAUUUUUUUGCCUAAAAAGUACUAAUACUCUUUGAAAACUUGUACUGCUUUUUCUGCUUAUACCCACUUUAGUCUUCUCUCUGUACUAAACCUUGAAAUGCAUCUUUGCUUUCAAUCAAAGGUUACACUUAUACUCAGAAAAUAUUACUUUUCAUUAAAUACUUGAAAUUAAUGCUAGAGCAUAUUCAGAAAAUAGAGGAAAUAUAAGACAUAUAAGAGCAGUUUAAAACCUUAGCAUCCAAAAGCGUAGAAUAAAGAGUUCAUCAUAUGUUCACCUUGGAUGAAGAAAACUUGUGUGAAAAUAUAAAUCAGAGUGUAAGUUUUCUUAAAACAGUUGAAUGAAAUCAAUGUGGUGGAUGUUGGAUGGUUUACGAAAAGAACACUUCAUAUGCAAGUUCAAUUAUUUAGCGCUUUGGACCCUUGUUCUUUAUAUGUGUAACGGUUGGUUAAGUUAGCCACAAUUAAUAGAAGUUUCCCCUAUAUUUAUAGGGGUCAAAGUGGAUAACUAGUAAGUUUGGAAUGGAUCCUUACUUGUAGGUUAGGGAUCAACGUAAAAGCAGAUUAUUCAUCAGUUGAUUGCAAAACUUUUCCUUAAUCCAUGAUGAGAUAUUAGUAUGAAGUUUUGUGAGUAGGCCUUUGUCAAGAGGAUGUGACAUAUUGGGAUAGCCUUCUCAAGGAAGGAUGCUCUAAGAUGAUGGAUACUUUUACGAGAGGGAUUAGCCUUAGAGGACUCCAUUAAUCAGUGUUUGAGAUUACUUAAGAUAAUUAAGUACUUAAAGAUUUAAAUUCAAGAUAUUAAAAUAAUCUCGCAGUUAAUCUAUAUUUUCUUUCAGUGGAUAGAAUUUACCAAACUUUAAAAGCCGAGCAAAAAUUUCAAAUUUAUUAACUGUAGACAAUUUUAACUCAAAAUCAAAAUAAAAGAAAGAAAAUCAAUUGUAUAUCAAAGUUGUGGCUUAACGCCAUAACAUACAUCUUAUCAUCCCUUAUAUGCACACGGUAUAUUGUGUUAAUAAACGUGGCGUUGAAAAGAAAGUUUCAGAAAGAUUUCACUGUCUUUUCUUUUUACAUAUGCUCUGUGACACAAACUCCCUCCAUGACAAUUAGGAAAAAAGAUGAAAAGUAGAUUUUCUACAUAUUUCUGCCUAAAGAGAUUAUUAUGGGAGGUUAGAGCCAAUUUUAUUGCCAGGAAACCGUGAAUCUCGUGUGAAAUGGUACUUCAGUAUUUACUCCAUUACACAAUAUUGGACCACAUCUCUUUAUUUAAUAUUUUAAAUUAAUAUAUUAUAGAAUUAAGUUGUUAUCUAAAUUUAAUUAUUUUUAAUUUUGAUUUGAUUAUUUGAAUUUUUAUACAUGUAGAAUAAAAAAUAUCAUAUCUUAUCUUCAGUGUCAAGAAUUUCAACGUCCAUCUCUGGCUGCUUGUAUUUUUCAUAAACAUAUAGUCCCAUCAUCAGAAAUAUUCAAGAUUUGACAUCUAGGCUCAUAUUGUGCGACUGUGUGGUAGCAAAGUUGGUUAUCUGAAAUAUAGUCCCAUCAUCAGAAAUAUGCAAACUCCUUCCAUGGGACUUUGUCAUUGGUUAUUGAGUUACUUAUUAGAGAUGGUCGUCUACCUUUCCUCUAUUUUGUUUGAAUCAUUAUAUUUUGUGCACCUAAAUGAUUGAAAGAUUCAAGCAACAUCUUUUAUUUCUUGUCAUAUUUUUUUUUAUCGUGUUGUAUCUUUAAUUAUAUCAAAUUAUUUAUCUUUCUUUCUCUUCCUAUCUUUGUAGAUAGAUGUCUUCAUUCAAAAGAUAUCUACCAGUUCUUUUUUCUUUUUGUUCUCCUAUUUUAUUCAAACAAAUUUUUUUAAACGUUUCUUAAUUUCUUCCUUCAUUUUAAUUUGUUGUAUUAUAUUGUUUGAUAUCAUGCUUGCGUCACUAAAAUAUUGUGUUUUUUAAAAUAUUAUGUUUAAACAUAAUAGUAAUACUAUUUCAGAUAAAUUUCUCAUUAAAAGAAAAUAUUGAUAGGAGAAAAUUAAAAAUAAAACAAAAUUAUUUUAUAUAUUAAAAUCAAUUUUAUGUAUCUUAAUAUGUAAAGUUGGAAAAAAAAGAGAACUUAUAUAAAAAAAUUAAAUGUAUAAAUUUAUUUUAAAUUAUGAAAAAAUAACUUAUGAUUUUCUUAUUUCUUGUUAUAAAUAUUUAUUUAAAAAUAUGUACAAAUAAGAUCAUAAAAAUAACCUUUUCUUUCAGAUUUAAUCGCAUAACCAGUGGAAAGAAAAGUUUUUCACUAUCCGAAAAAAAAUGAAUAUUACCCCUUUCAAAAAACAAGAUGAAUAAGUUGGCAUCUUCCACAUCAAAGGUACGUACAAUCAUUUGUACAUAUAACAAAACAACAAUAUAUUCUUUGCCAUCAAGGCUCAAGCGCAUGCCAUUGCUUGGGAGGUCGCCAACGAAGCAAGGAAUAUAAUUGAUUAUUAUUGGUAAAAACCUACAUAUUGUUUUUAGAAGCAAACUUUAACAUUGCUUAAAUGGAGAGAAAGUUUUAGACGCACCCAAUCUUUUUACUACCGAAAAACAAAAAACGUUGUGCAUAUUUUCUAAAAAAAUUGGAAAUUGAAAUAUUGUUGUGAAUUAUUAUAGCACAAUCAAUUAGUUUGCUAAAUUUGUAAUAAAAGUUUCCCAUGUCAAUAGGCUUCACUGUCUUUUACAUAUGCUCUCUCACAACAUAAACUUGUUUUUUGAAGGGACUCAGGACAUAAACUUAUACAGCCGUUAUCAUUUUUUCUGGUAUACCACCAUUAUAAUACUAAUAUUCAACAUGUGUAAUAUAUAUGAUCAUCAUUUACUUUUAUGUAUUUACAAACAAAAAAAACAUUUAUUUUAAUGUGAAAAUUAUAAUAGAUAGACAUUUUUAAAUAAGUUACUAUUUAAAAAGUUUUUCAUAAGGGUAUCUUCAGUUAAACUAGUUUAUAAGUUAUAAGUUAGAACUCAAAAGCUAAUUAAAAAUUAACUGAUUUAAUUGAAAAUAUUUGAUAAGACUAAUUGAUAAAUUAACUAAUAAAUGUUAAAUGAUGUAAAAUGAUUAUUCAAGUGUGUAGGGUUUAGUUAACAAAAGGAAAAGUUUUGCUUUUACGAAUUGAAUGAAUAAAAUAAAAAUCUUGUAAUGAAACAAAUUAGGUCAUAUAAUUUUAGAAUAAAAAAAUAGAAUAACUUGCCAAAUAAUUGUAAAGUGUAUAUGUUUAAAAAAAUUAUAUCCCUAAAAAACACUGCACAGACGACAAUAGAUAAGUUAACUCCACUUUAUAUGUUAACUACUAUGUGCGUCCCGGGCGUAUAAGAAAGAAAAAUUAGAUAGAGGGAUGUUUUCAUACAAAGAACAAAAAAAAAGAGGGUUUUUAAAAAGAAAUAUAUAUAUAUAUAUAUAUAUAUAUAUAUAUAUAUAUAUAUAUAUAUAUAUAUAUAUAUAAGGCUUUUUUAAUUAAAUAAAAGGUUAAAAUAAAAUUUCAAAUAAAAUAGUAAAAAUAAAAUUGAAAAGAAAAAACUAAUAAUAUAUAUGAUAACUUAUUUUUCAUCUAUAUCAAACAAGUUUAUUUUGUCAAAUGAGCAUAUAAACUAAUUAAAGAAAUUUAUAAGCUCCUGAAAGAUUUUACAAAUAUAACCUAAGUUUUUGAGAAACAAGAGUAACUAUUUUAAAUAUAGCAACUAUUUUAUGAGAAACAAGAAAAAUUAUUUCACAAUUUUCAUUUCUCUAUUUUUAUAUAAAAUCUUUAAAAUGCUUAAAAGUAUCUUAUGUUUAAUUAUUUUUAACACUAAUUAAGAACAAUAAAUAAGUUUCUUCUAAAAAAAUAAGUUACUUAUUGAAACUAUAUUACUAAAAUGUUAUUACUCUUCAUAAAUGUGUUACUUGUAACUAUUGAAUAGUUAUAAAUUGACAAGGCACAAUACUAAAAAUUAUUAGAAUAUUGAUGUAAUUUAUUUAUAACAAAUUUAGAAUAAAAGUUUUAAUAUCUCAAUUUGUAAAUUAAAAAUAUUAGAAAAUAUCAUAUUUUUAAAAAUGUUAAAACAUCAGUAAUUUUAUAAUGGAGAGAGUAUAGGAGUAGAUCGUGAAAAAGAAAAAAAGAAAAUAGUAUUAAUUAAAUUUUUAGUCCCUUAAUUUUUUAGAUCCUAGUUUUUAGUCUUUAGUUUUUUUUUAACUUUUAGUCCUUCAUUCAUUUUUCAUCAAGAUUUCUAGCCUCUCUUUUUUCCAUUUAUAGUCCUUUAUUUAUUUUAAUUGCCCAAAAUUAGUUCUAAAUAAAAAUAAUAAGCAAAGAACUAAAAAUAAGUAAAAUAUGAACUAAUUUUGAGCGGUUUCCAUUUAUAGUCCUUUAUUUAUUUUAAUUGCCCAAAAUUAGUUCUAAAUAAAAAUAAUAAGCAAAGAACUAAAAAUAAGUAAAAUAUGAACUAAUUUCGAGCGGUAGAAAUAAACAAGGAACUAAAAUGGGCAAUUUUUUUAAAAAGAGGAUUAAAAAUAGUAAAUGAAAUUUUAAAAUGUAAAAAUUUGAAAUUUAAAAAAAAUAAGAGACUAAAAACUUAACUAAUUUUAAAAAAAAAUUAGCCAAGUUUCAAAAAAUUAAGGGAUUAAAAAUUUAAUUAAUCUAAAAAAUAUUUCUAUUUUUUUCUUUUUUAGGGGAAUUUUUUCUUCUUCUUUAAUUUAGUUGUAUCGUAAAUACCAGGCUUGUGUCGGUUAACAAACAAAAUAAAUAGUGUCCUUCAACACUAUAAUGAAAGUUCUUACACACAAUAAAAGAAACUUUUCCUUUGCAUUAAAUGCACAGAAAAUAAAUUUACAUUUAUGCUCUUUCUGAAAAAAAUAAAAUAUCAAUUGAAUUAGUUGAAAUAUUGUACUCCAUUAAACGUACAAAUACAAUUAAUUACAGUUAAUAAAGUAACAAUACAUUGUUUGCCAACAAGCGCAUAUGGCCUUAUGAGGUUGCCAUCAAAGCAAGGAAUAUAACUUAUUGUUGUAAAAGCAAUCUAAAAGUUUUAGUUCAUGAAACUAACAUUAGCAUUGCAUUGUGGAAAGAAAUAUUUCAGUUGUACAAAUUGCAAAUUUAGUGAGUUAAAAGAGACCAAUCAAUUAGGUUGAUAAAUUUACAAUACAGCUUCUCCCGUGUCAAUAAGCAGUGCCGCCAUUCACCAAACGAGCAUAUCCUCUUCAAAAGAAUAAAAAUAUUGGAUAAAUAACUAUUUUUAUCCAUGAAUAUAUAAUUUAUUGAUAAAUAUAUUUUAAAAGAUAAAAAUAUAAAAUUUAAUUCCUGAAGGUGUAAAAAAAUACAAAAAAUAUAUUAUAUUGUUAAUUUUCAUCCACCAUUUAUAAAAUAACUUACAUGGUAUAGAAGGACGAAUUUAUUACUAAAAUGAUUGUCAAUAUGACUUGCUAAUUAGAUUGAACAAAAAUGUCAAUAAAAUAUCAUUUUUGGAUGUAAAUGUCAGUAAUUUUUUGUUGGAAGAAAAUGUCAAUAUUUUUUUAUUGGAGAAAAAUGUCAAUAAUUUUUUUUGACCUAAAUGUCAAUACGUUCCAUUGGACCAAAAAUGUUAAUAAGUUAUCAUUAUUAGACGAAAAUAUCAAUAAUUUUUUAUUGAACCUAAAUAUUAGUAUAUUUCUAUUGGAUUAAUUUGUUAGACCCAAAACUUCAUUUAAGGGUAAAAUAUAGUUUUAUGAUAAAUUUUUGUCAUUUUUUAUCGUUACAAGCAUAACAUUAUAAUAAUCAUUUAACAAAUAUAUUGACAAACAUAAUUUAAAACAAACAUAAUAAUAAUAAUAAUAAUAAUAAUAAUAAUAAUAAUAAUAUUGAUUAUUAACCAUAAUUUGUCUGUCACAAUAAAAAUUAUCCAAAAUAAACAUUGUACCGGUUUACCAAAAUAAAACAUUGUAACAGUAUACCAAUCAUUAUAAAUUUUUCCAAAUUACCCUAAAAGAUAAAUAUAUCCCAUAUUUCACUUCUUCGAAUCUUGGUUAUUUUUAUUAAUGAUGACGGACGGAAGUUAAUGACCAAAUAUAUUUGUCAUACUUUUUACACUUUAGAUUAAAUUUUAUAUUUUCAUCUUUUAAGGACGCAUUCAAAGAUAAUUACACAUUCAAAGAUAAAAGUGGAUAUUUGCCCAUUCAUAUGCCUAAAGAGUAGAAAGACGAAAAGUUAAGAAAAUAUUAUAUGACAAAUAUAUUCCUAUAUUGGUAAUUAGAAAUGAUCAUGUUAACAAUUCAGUGACAAAUUCGUUUUUCUGUGUCACGUAGGCUAUUUUAUUAACGGUGACGGACUAAAGUUAACGGUAAGAUAUAUUUAUCGUACGUUUUACACUUUCAGGACUAAAUUUUUUACUUUCAACUUUUAGGGAUGUAUUUAUCAAUAAAUUAUAUAUUUAGGGACAAAAUUGACUAUUUACCAAAAAUAUUUAUUAACUUUUUUAAUCAUAGUAUUGAUAUUAAGUUUGAACAUACAUAUGGAAGUAAUUUCUUUUCAUUAUUUCGUUCAAAAACCACCCGAAUCUUAUGCCAACGUUGAUUUUAUCAUUUUAAAAAAAUAGUAAAAUAAGAAUGUUAGCGAAUCAUUACGGUUUGAACAAGGUUUGGCUUUGGAGGUACAAAAUAAUAAUUUAUCCCAACACCUAGAAAAAAAAAUAAUAAGUAAAAGAUAUACCACAUUAAUUUUAAUUUGACUAAAUUCUUAUUUUCGUCCACUAAAAGGCAAACAUUGUCGCUUUAUUUUUUAAUAUUUUUAAAAAAUAUAUAUUUCGAUUUAAUACUCCAAUAAUAGUAUAAUACAAAGUCUACUUAAUUUAAUUUCUUGAUUAUAUCAAAUUUCAUGAAAUUAAUUCGUUAAUUAGUGUUUCGUUACAUUCGUGUAUCUCAAUUCAAUGAAAGAAAAUCAAUUUUGAAAAAUAAAAAUAAAACUAACCAAAUAUGCAAGAAUAAUUUAAUUUGAAUAAAUGAUUAUUUCGUUUUUUUAAAUAAAUCAAUUUAAACACGACUAAGUCCUUCAAAUUAACAUCACUGUGAAGGUUCAAUCACGGCAUAAGUUAUUCAAGCUAGUCCACGUCCAAGCAAAACACAUUUUGUGUAAAAAUGUAAACAAAUGUUUAUGAAAUAUAAAUAUGUAAAUAACUUGUAAAAUUAAUUUUUAUGUAUUAUUAUUGUAAAAAAAAUUAAUCAAUUAAAAAUCAUUAUUAUUAUUAUAUUUUAAAUAAUUAUUAUAAGUUUAUAAGUAUAAAACCUUUUGCACAAUCGGUGUCAUGUUAUUAGUACUAUUUUGACUAAAGUAUAAUUUUUAUUUUCCUAUUUUUUUAAUUUGCAAAUUUAAUCUACAUAUUUUUUAAAUGAGAUUUUAUUUUUUAUUUUAAAAAAAUUACAAUUUAAUAUCCUAUUUUUUAGUUGAGACAUUUUAUUCUUAUGUUUUGAAAACCUGUUAUUUUAAUUCUUUUGGUCAAUUUUAGACCGGUUGAUAGUAUAUUUUUUUGUAUUUUUAAUAAAUUAAGUUUAUUAAUAAUUAAAUAAUUUUUAAAAAAUAUUUAUCAUGUGCAUAAUAAAUAAACACUCGCCGAUCAACAUUUACAUAGUACAUAAAUUAAUGUUUAAAAUUAGGCACAUGAACUAAAAUUACUAAAUUUUUAAAAUGAGAAACAAAAUAUCUUAAUUAAAAAUAGAGACUAAAAUGGUACACUUUUAAAAAGUGAUGAUAAAAUAUCUCAAUUAAAAAAAAAUUAAAAACACAAAUUAAAAAAAUGAGAAAACAAAAAUUGCAUUUUAAUUUAUAAUUUUUUUAUAAACUUCUAUACUUCUACCACCAAAGAAAAAAUUAGUCAACUCGCAAAAAAUGUAAUGUAUGUCGUGUCAUUUAUAUACAAAUUAUUAAUUAAAUAAAAAGUUAACAAAUUCCGGUUCUCCGCAAAACGCCGGUCACGUAUCACUCGGGGAAUAGACUUGGUAAUCAAACACUAUUAAAAAAAAUAGUAAAAUAAUAAAUAAAUAAAAUAAAAAAAGCUACUAGUAGCAAGUACGAGUAAGAAACUAGACCACAAACAUUCAAUGAACCAAUAAUGAUCUACCCAAAAUGCAAGAAACCAAUAAUGUGGUCUAGUUUCUUACAUCAAUUAAUCAUUAUUAUCUUAUCUUAAAUAUCUAAACCAAAGUCAACACCCUUCUAAUUACAAACCAUUAAAAUUUCAUCAAAACCAUUAACCAUUUCUCUUUCCCCUACCAUUAUCUUAAUGUUUGUUCACCAGCGCAUGCUAAAAAAAAAAACACAUUUUUCUUCAUCAGAAAUAAAAAAAUAAAUCAUUUAAUAUUUAUUUUUAAGUAAUUAAAAACAUUUAAUAAGAUGCACUUAAUACCCUCAAAUUCAUUUAUGAACACACAUUAAAAAACUUUUUUUUUCUCUCAUCACAACAAGUAUUAGGUAUCACAGUUACUUUUUUUUUCUGAUUUUUUUCUAUUUUGAUCAAUUAACUAAGUAACUAACAAACAAACCAUUUUAAAAUUAAUAGAUAAUAAUAGCAAUAAUAAGAAGAAACACCUAAAAAGGUAUUGUAAUCCCGCAAACCCUUUUCCUUAUCCAACUUGUUUAACAAAACAAAGCUGUUCCUCCGUCUUUUUUCCAUCAACCCAAGUAACUAAAUUUCUUUGACCCUCUCUUGCUUCUCUCUCUAAAUUCUUACACCCUCUCUCUCUCUUCCUUUUUCUCUUAUUCCCAUUUUUCCAAUUCUCUCACGUUGAGAAACCCUCACUAAGCAACCUUUUUUACUCUUUCUAUAUUUGUUUUUGCAAGAACAAGACAAAGCUUCUCCCUUUAAAUUAUCCGUCAGAUCCCCCCUCUCUAUUUCUCUUUCUCUCUCACAACGACACCAUUGCUUGGGUGCAUAAUAAUAUAAAAGUCCAAAACGGUAUCGUAUUUUAAAUAAAACGUAAUAAAUGAGGUGUAAGAAACACUUACCGGACCUCACCAGCACCAUCGGCGUGUGCGCUUCGUGCCUCCGCGAACGCCUCCAGCCUCUCCUCGCAGCCCAGGCCCAAGCCCAGGCCCAAUCAGAACGUUCCACCACCAAUUCCAACGUGGAUAAUAAUCAUCGUCGAAGAAAGCCC